rnacentral:rRNA from 1 species
UUUCCUAUUUUUUUGNUUUCUAGGGAAGCCGUAAUGAUUAAUAGGGAUAGUCGGGGGCAUCAGUAUUCAAUUGUCAGAGGUGAAAUUCUUGGAUUUAUUGAAGACUAACUACUGCGAAAGCAUUUGCCAAGGAUGUUUUCAUUAAUCAGUGAACGAAAGUUAGGGGAUCGAAGACGAUCAGAUACCGUCGUAGUCUUAACCAUAAACUAUGCCGACUAGGGAUCGGGCGAUGUUACUAUCUUGACUCGCUCGGCACCUUACGAGAAAUCAAAGUUUUUGGGUUCUGGGGGGAGUAUGGUCGCAAGGCUGAAACUUAAAGAAAUUGACGGAAGGGCACCACCAGGAGUGGAGCCUGCGGCUUAAUUUGACUCAACACGGGGAAACUCACCAGGUCCAGAUACAAGUAGGAUUGACAGAUUGAGAGCUCUUUCUUGAUUUUGUAGUUGGUGGUGCAUGGCCGUUCUUAGUUGGUGGAGUGAUUUGUCUGCUUAAUUGCGAUAACGAACGAGACCUUAACCUGCUAAAUAGCCCGGCUCGCUUUGGCGGGUCGCUGGCUUCUUAGAGGGACUAUCGGCUCAAGCCGAUGGAAGUUUGAGGCAAUAACAGGUCUGUGAUGCCCUUAGAUGUUCUGGGCUGCACGCGCGCUACACUGACAGAGCCAACGAGUUUUUUUCCUUGGCCGGAAGGUCUGGGUAAUCUUGUUAAACUCUGUCGUGCUGGGGAUAGAGCAUUGCAAU